GUGAUCCGGUGGUUCUGUAUGGAAGGGCCAUCGCUCAACGGAUAAAAGGUACUCUGGGGAUAACAGGCUGAUACCGCCCAAGAGUUCAUAUCGACGGCGGUGUUUGGCACCUCGAUGUCGGCUCAUCUCAUCCUGGGGCUGAAGCAGGUCCCAAGGGUAUGGCUGUUCGCCAUUUAAAGAGGUACGCGAGCUGGGUUUAGAACGUCGUGAGACAGUUCGGUCCCUAUCUACCGUGGGCGCUGGAAAUUUGAGAGGAUCUGCUCCUAGUACGAGAGGACCAGAGUGGACGAACCUCUGGUGUACCGGUUGUGACGCCAGUCGCAUCGCCGGGUAGCUAUGUUCGGAAGGGAUAACCGCUGAAAGCAUCUAAGCGGGAAGCCUACCUCAAGAUAAGAUUUCCCUAGGACUUUAUGUCCUCUAAAGAGCCGUUCGAGACUAGGACGUUGAUAGGUUGGAUGUGGAAGCAUAGUGAUAUGUGAAGCUGACCAAUACUAAUUGCUCGUGAGGCUUGACUAUACAACACCCAAGCAGUUG
rnacentral:rRNA from 1 species